rnacentral:lncRNA from 1 species
AAAAUGUUGCAUAUCAUCCAUUUCUCAUUCUUGCUUGUGGUAAAUGAUUUUAUCUGAGUCGGCUAAGAAUGAUCAAAACCUAAAGAUGUAAAAGCGUCCUGUCACAAUGACUUUUAGUUGGCUUGUUAUGUUUGCAAGGCUCCUUGAGAAUUAUUGUCAUAAUUCAUACUUAGAAAUUUUUUGUGUAUGACUUGACCAUACCCUAUCUUUACUUUUUUGAGGCCUGGCUUUUUGGGUUUAUAUCCUUUGUUACUAUUAGCUUUUCCAAAAUCAUUUCCCACAACUUCCGUCCAUGUCAUCUUAAAACUUCUUCUCCCCUUCUUUUAAAUUUCGGCAUGAAAUCCAUUUUGGUCUUCUUGCUGUUGCUUUGGAUAUUUUUGUGACGUGCCACACCAUUUCAUUCUGUUUUCCAUUUUUAAACUAGUCCCUACCUUAAACCUCAAUUUGUGCAACUCUAGUGCUUCCUUUAGUUUCCUGCUUUCUUUGCCAAAUUCAUCUAAUGUACAUGGGCCUCUUUAUCAUCAUGCAACAUUGUAAACCAUGCAGCAUUGCAAAUUUAGUUGUUUUACAAAAUUUUCUUAUAAGCUUCAAAAGGUUUCUGUGGUAACACAGCAUCCUAGAAGCAUCUUUGCACUUCAUCAUCCACCUUGGUAUUUCUUCUGAUCCAAGAUAAAGAAAUAUAAUCACAGAAGGUUUUCUCUUAGUUAAUAUCUUUUUGACCUAUAUUAUUUCUUUUGCCAAUAAAACUGUACUCCACGUUAGUUUUCAGCACUUUAUUCCAGUGAUUUUGUUCAUUUUCUUAAAUUUGUAUACAAGCUUGCUCUCAUCUCAUCAAUAAGCAUGCUUUCAUUGCAGAUAACAUAUGCCUCGAUACCUUCUGUUGUAUAUGCCUAUUGAUGAUAGGCAAAGAGUAUAUGGAUGAAAGGACAAUCCUUGGUCCAGGCACAAUGCAACUAGAAACUCAGUCCUCUUUCUACAUCUACCUGCAGUAACAAUUUUCACCUUUUAAUUAUACAUGCCUUUAACAAUUUGAAUAUAACCUCUAAAUAAAUGUUUCUUCCAUUACACAUGUGCAAAAUUACUCCUUGUGGUACUCUAUCAUAA